GAAAACAUUAUUAGCUGUAUUAAACAGUAAUCGGCUGCAGAAGCAAAAGUUUUAAAUCAAGCCUCCCUUCAUUCACAAGCCAUAUGUUCUGCUCUUUUAAUGUAUAGACAAGCACAUUUUACAAACAUUACAUUUGAUAUUAGGGGAAAAGUGGUGCUGAGGGGCCCAAAGGAAAUCCCGGUCAGCAAGGUCUUCGAGGCCUACCAGGAGAGAAGGGCUACAGAGGACCUGCUGGCCCACAGGGAAACAUAGGGCAGUGGGGUGAAACAGGUCUGCGGGGGCCUGU